rnacentral:rRNA from 1 species
UACGUAGGGUGCAAGCGUUGUCCGGAAUUAUUGGGCGUAAAGAGCUCGUAGGCGGUUCGUCGCGUCGGCUGUGAAAACCUGAGGCUCAACCUCAGGCCUGCAGUCGAUACGGGCGGACUUGAGUACUGCAGGGGAGACUGGAAUUCCGGGUGUAGCGGUGGAAUGCGUAGAGAUCCGGAAGAACACCGGUGGCGAAGGCGGCCUGCUGGGACAAUGCUGACGCUGAGGCGCGACAGCGUGGGGAGCAAACAGG